UACGUAGGAGGCAAGCGUUGUCCGGAAUUACUGGGCGUAAAGCGCGUGUAGGUGGUGGGACAAGUCUGCUGUGAAAUCCCCGGGCUCAACCUGGGAAUGGCAGUGGAUACUGGCAAGCUAGAGUGUGUCAGAGGAUGGUGGAAUUCCCGGUGUAGCGGUGAAAUGCGUAGAGAUCGGGAGGAACAUCAGUGGCGAAGGCGGCCAUCUGGGACAACACUGACGCUGAGGCACGAAAGCGUGGGGAGCAAACAGG
rnacentral:rRNA from 1 species